GACGAACGCUGGCGGCGUGCUUAACACAUGCAAGUCGAACGGAAAGGCCCUGCUUUUGUGGGGUGCUCGAGUGGCGAACGGGUGAGUAACACGUGAGUAACCUGCCCUUGACUUUGGGAUAACUUCAGGAAACUGGGGCUAAUACCGGAUAGGAGCUCCUGCUGCAUGGUGGGGGUUGGAAAGUUUCGGCGGUUGGGGAUGGACUCGCGGCUUAUCAGCUUGUUGGUGGGGUAGUGGCUUACCAAGGCUUUGACGGGUAGCCGGCCUGAGAGGGUGACCGGCCACAUUGGGACUGAGAUACCGCCCAGACUCCUACGGGAGGCAGCAGUGGGGAAUAUUCCACAAUGGGCGGAAGCCUGAUGCAGCAACGCCGCGUGCGGGAUGACGGCCUUCGGGUUGUAAACCGCUUUCGCCUGUGACGAAGCGUGAGUGACGGUAAUGGGUAAAGAAGCACCGGCUAACUACGUG
rnacentral:rRNA from 1 species